rnacentral:rRNA from 1 species
UACCAGCACCCCGAGUGGUCGGGACGAUUAUUGGGCCUAAAGCAUCCGUAGCCGGUUUUACAAGUCCUCCGUUAAAUCCACCUGCUUAACAGAUGGGCUGCGGAAGAUACUAUAGGGCUAGGAGGCGGGAGAGGCAAGCGGUACUCAGUGGGUAGGGGUAAAAUCCUCUGAUCCAUUGAAGACCACCAGUGGCGAAGGCGGCUUGCCAGAACGCGCUCGACGGUGAGGGAUGAAAGCUGGGGGAGCAAACCGG